UACGAAGGGGGCUAGCGUUGUUCGGAAUUACUGGGCGUAAAGCGUAUGCAGGCGGACUUUUAAGUCGGGGGUGAAAUCCCCGAGGCUCAACCUCGGAACUGCCUUCGAUACUGGAAGUCUUGAGUCCGGGAGAGGUGAGUGGAACUCCGAGUGUAGAGGUGAAAUUCGUAGAUAUUCGGAAAGAACACCAGUGGCGAAGGCGGCUCACUGGCCCCGGUACUGACGCUGAGAUACGAAAGCGUGGGGAGCAAACAGG
rnacentral:rRNA from 1 species